CUCGGAUCAGGGAGGGGUACCCCCUGGACUUUAGCAUAUCAAUAGGCCGGAGGAACCGC
rnacentral:rRNA from 1 species